UACGUAGGGGGCUAGCGUUGUCCGGAAUCAUUGGGCGUAAAGAGCGUGUAGGCGGUCCGGUAAGUCCGCUGUGAAAGUCGGGGGCUCAACCCUCGAAUGCCGGUGGAUACUGUCAGGCUAGAGUGCGGAAGAGGCGAGUGGAAUUCCUGGUGUAGCGGUGAAAUGCGCAGAUAUCAGGAGGAACACCUAUUGCGAAGGCAGCUCGCUGGGACGGUACUGACGCUGAGACGCGAAAGCGUGGGGAGCGAACAGG
rnacentral:rRNA from 1 species